AUUGCUUCUUUUGGAUAAGAGCAAAUGUAGUAUCUGUAUCAGUUUAACAUCUGAUAACAUCCUCUAUCCGAGGACAAUAUAUUAAAUGGAUUUUUGGAAGUAGGAGUUGGAAUAGGAGCUUGAUCCAUCCACUCCACAAACUGACCUGGUAUUUCAGUACCUCCAGGAACAGUGCAUAAACA
ensembl:snRNA U2 U2 spliceosomal RNA